CUGAUGUAUACUAUGUUUUCAAGAAGUCUGACCAUAAAGGAAAACAGACAUGAAAGCCACUUGAAGGGAAAAGGAUGUCAGGAAGGUACCUGUAAACUUGGGAUAAACAUCAUACCAGAUGAGGCUGCAGAUCUUUCAGAAUCUUCUGAAAGAUUCUGUAUUAAUCUAAACCAAGGAAAAUGUGGCCACUUUCAUAGGCAAUCAGUCAAGAUUUCUAGCAGCAAAUUUACCCAUUGAGCUUUGCACCUUACUGAAAGUUUGUCUGAGUAUGAGAUUCUAGGAUGCAAAUCAUUUUGCCUCAGGAUGUAGAAGGCAUCUUUCCACUGGUGUUCAAUUCCCGUAGCUGCUGAGCAGGAGUUUGAGGUCAAGUUCAUCUUAAAUCCUUUGCAUGUAACCUAUUCUCUCUCCCUGUCUCUGUCUCUCCCUCCCUGCCUCUUCCCACUCCCCGCCCCAACAUGCCUUUAAUAUCAUCUCAUUAUCCCUGGUAUCCUGAGUUUCAUGAUGAUAUGCAUCGAUGUGGGGCUGGUGGGGGUUGUCCACCAUUGCGCUAAGCACUUCAUGUUUCUUCCAGCCUAAAAAAUUCCCCUCCUUCCAUUUUGGUAAAUGUCUGUGAUGAUUUCCUCUCUCUCUGUUUUCUAUUGCUGGAACUCCUCUUUUAUCAGAUGUAUCUCCUUGAAUAGUCUUUGAAUUUUCUUCUUGUAUAUCUCUUUGUUUUUCUGUUCCACUUUCUGGAAGAGUUCCUCAACACCGUUUCUCAAACUCCUAUUGAGUUUUUUACUUCUGCCACAUAUUUUUCUUUUCUAAGAGCUCUUUCACAUACCCUAAAAGUUAUCUUUUUAACAUCUCACCAUUGGCUAUUUCUUGUUUUCUUCU
rnacentral:lncRNA from 1 species